rnacentral:rRNA from 1 species
GACGUAGGGCGCGAGCGUUGUCCGGAUUUAUUGGGCGUAAAGAGCUCGUAGGCGGCUCGUUGCGUCAACCGUGAAAACCCGAGGCUUAACCUCGGGCUGGCGGUGGAUACGGGCAGACUAGAGGUAGGUAGGGGAGAAUGGAAUUCCCGGUGUAGCGGUGAAAUGCGUAGAGAUCAGGAAGAACACCCGUGGCGCAAGCGGCCACCUGGCUGCCAACUGACGCUGAGGCACGAGAGCGUGGGGAGCGAACCGG